rnacentral:rRNA from 1 species
UAAGACGUAGGAUGCGAGCGUUGUCCGGAUUUAUUGGGCGUAAAGAGUUCGUAGGUUGUUUUGUAAGUCUGGUGUAAAAGACUGGGGCUCAACCCUGGGAUCGCACUGGAUACUGUAAGACUAGAGUGAAGUAGAGGCAAGCGGAAUUCCCAGUGUAGCGGUGAAAUGCGUAGAUAUUGGGAAGAACACCGGUGGCGUAAGCGGCUUGCUGGGCUUUAACUGACGCUGAGGAACGAAAGCUAGGGGAGCAAAUGGGAUUAGAUACCCCAGUAGUCCUAGCUGUAAACGAUGGAUACUAGGCGUAUCGGGUAUCGACCCCUGAUGUGCCGUAGCAAACGCGAUAAGUAUCCCGCCUGAGUAGUACGGCCGCAAGGUUG